GCAGGCGAGAAUCCUCCACAAUGUGGGCAACCACGAUGGGGGAACUCCAAGUGCCUACACUUUUGUGUAGGCUGUUCUCGAGCCUAAAAAGCUCGAGAAGUAAGGGCCGGGUAAGACGGGUGCCAGCCGCCGCGGUAAUACCCGCGGCCCGAGUGGUGCUCAUUAUUAUUGAGCCUAAAGCGUCCGUAGCUGGCCGGGCAAAUCUCCGGGUAAAUCGGGCCGCCCAACGGUCCGAAUUCCGGAGACACUGCACGGCUUGGGAUCGGGAGAGGGUGAAGGUACUCCCUGGGUAGGGGUAAAAUCCUGUAAUCCGGGGGGGACCACCAGUGGCGAAGGCGUUCACCUAGAACGAAUCCGACAGUGAGGGACGAAGCCCUAGGGCGCAAACGGGAUUAGAUACCCCCGUAGUCC
rnacentral:rRNA from 1 species